AACUAACGCUGGCGGCGUGCCUAACACAUGCAAGUCGUACGAGAAAGUUGGCUUCGGCUGAUGAGUAAAGUGGCGCACGGGUGAGUAACGCGUGGAUAAUCUGCCUUUUAGUUGGGAAUAACGUACCGAAAGGUGCGCUAAUACCGGAUAAUACUGCAUAACUACUGUUGUGUAGUCAAAGAAGGCCUCUGUUUACAAGCUUUUGCUGAAAGAUGAGUCCGCGUACCAUUAGCUAGUUGGUAGGGUAAUGGCCUACCAAGGCUACGAUGGUUAGCUGGUCUGAGAGGAUGAUCAGCCACACUGGAACUGAGACACGGUCCAGACUCCUACGGGAGGCAGCAGUGAGGAAUAUUGCGCAAUGGGGGCAACCCUGACGCAGCAACGCCGCGUGAGUGAGGAAGGUUUUCGGACCGUAAAGCUCUGUCGAGCGGGAAGAAAUGUAUCGUGGCUAAUAUCCAUGAUAUUUGACGGUACCGCUAAAGGAAGCACCGGCUAACCG
rnacentral:rRNA from 1 species